CUUUGCUACAUCGAUUUUAAUUGUGAAAAAACUUCGUACCGUGUGGUUGCUUCUGUGUGAAGUGCGCUCCCCCAUUUUAACUAUCCAGUGUGAAAUCUCACGAAGCUCGAAAGUUUAGUGCCUUUUGCCGUGGAGGUGCUAAUUGGAACGGUGGUGAACAGUGAAUUUUGUUUGAUUUAGGUGCAGAACGUUUGCCGAGCCGAAUCAUGAGUGAAAAGCAAGACCCACAAAAUGGCGAUCACCAGAACGGCCGCAAUGACGAUGAUGAGAUUCGCGAGCCGGAACAUCUGCGCAAGCUGUUCAUCGGUGGACUGGACUACCGCACCACGGACGAUACGCUAAAGGCGUACUUUGAAAAGUGGGGCAAAGUGGUGGAUGUGGUCGUUAUGAAGGAUCCGAAAACGAAGCGUAGCCGCGGGUUCGGUUUCAUCACGUACUCCAAGUCGUACAUGAUUGACGAUGCCCAGGCAAGCCGUCCGCACAAGAUUGAUGGGCGUGUGGUGGAACCGAAGCGUGCCGUGCCACGCCAGGACAUCAACCGUCCGGAGGCUGGUUCGUCGGUGAAGAAACUGUUCGUCGGCGGGCUGCGCGAUGACUUCGAUGAGGAUCAUCUGCGCGAGUACUUCUCCAAGUACGGUAAUGUCAUUUCGGCCUGCAUUGUGACGGACAAGGACAAUGGCAAGAAGCGAGGCUUCGGUUUCGUUGAGUUUGACGAUUACGAUCCGGUGGAUAAGAUUAUCUUGCAAAAAAGCCACACCAUUCAGAACAAGCUGCUGGAUGUGAAGAAAGCGCUGCCAAAGCAGGACAUGGACCGCUAUAAGAACGACAUGGGCCGCACUGGUGGUGGUGGCGGCGGCGGUGGCGGCGGUGGUGCCUGGGGCAACCAGCGCGGCAGUGGUGGUGGUGGCGGUGGCUGGAACAGCCAGCGUGGUAGCGGCGGUGGCGGCUGGGGUAACCAGCGCGGUGGUGCCGCGAAUGAUUGGAACAGCGGUGGGUUUAAUAAUGGUGGUGGUUUCAACAACGGCGGGUUCAACAACGGUGGCAACAGUUGGAACAAUGGCGGCGGCAACCCGUGGGACAAUGGGUGCGGCUCACAGGGUCAGGGUGGCUGGGGCAACAAUGGUGGCAAUUGGGGUGGCAACAGCGGCGGUGGUGGUGGUGGAUGGGGCGGAAACGAGUUCGGAAAUAACUAUCAGCAAGGAUACAAUGCCGGGCCGGUGCGGGCCGGCGGCAAUUUCAAUCAGCGGGCGGCACCCUACGGUACCGACGGUAGCUACUAUGGCGCGUACUAGUCGAUAGCUAACCGUUCAACUUGCGUUUCCAGGCAACCAAGGGGCUGGUGGCAGCGGAAGAUACGGCACUAGCCGUAGGUAUUGAUCUUGAUCUUGAACAGACAGUGGAUGAUGAUGGUGUUCCCGGGUUAAGAUUAACUAAGUAAGAAUGCUACUCCUUUUUUUCACCACAUCUCUAUAAUCGGAAACCCAACUCUGUUGCACGGUCCAACUUCUAUUGUUGUGCAUUUUUCCCCCCCUAAUACCAACGACUACAUUUUCUUACGUCUUGAUGCGUGUAUGUCAAUGUAUAAAUCACGAGAUGAUAUGUCGACCGUUUCGAACUCUCGCCCCACACCUCCGCCGCUCCGUACGUUCACCGUGUCAUGCUUUUGUUAACACCACACACACACAUAGACACCCGCUCAUUCUUCGUGUUGUUGCCCUGCCGUCGGCCACAUGUGUGCCUAACGGAAUGCACAUUUGUGCUUCUGCGUGCCAUCGUCUCUUUCCUCCAAAAUAGCACAGAACACCACCAUGCGCGUGCAGACAGCGGUCACAGCUCUCCAAAGUAUUUCAGUGCCAUAGUGAUCCAUUCCUGUUUGUGCUUAGCGUCCCAGUUUUGCUACUAGUAAACCGUUUGUGAUUUUGCUGAAGGACACUUUUAGGCUGAAGCUCAGCACAGGGCGGCAGGACUUGUGUACGGUACAAAGCAAGUUUUUAGAAAGAGCUAGCUAAAACAAAAAAACAGUACAUUACCAUACCCAGUCACAGAAAGUGAGGGUGAGACAGAGUGUGAGAGGAAAGACGUACUCAGUCAGGAUCAAUGUGUGUGCGCGCGCGCGUGUGAGGGGGCUCGAUGGGAGGCAGGUCAAGCAAAAGGAGGUCAAAAUCGAUAGGCCACCCGCGAACGAGGAGCAACAGCACAUUAACAACAAGGAAGAAGGAGAGUGCAGGAGACGCGCACACAAUCACACACGAGUUGCAAGGAGGAGAAGGAGGAAAGUCACAUCGAGAUAUUGAGUAGCGGAGAGGGUAUCGCAUUCAAUUGCCAGGAUCAGCUCCACUUUGCUCUGUGUAGACUGUUUCGCAAAACCAAACCCAGCAACAUCAGGCGCGCGCAACCCUUCCCCCUCCGUCAGUUUUGAGCGGUUUCUUCAAUGCAACGUACAAAAAGUGUAGUACGUAAUGUGUAUGUUAUGUAUGUCGCUCAGUGUGGUUUGUUAGAUCUAGCACAUCAUCGUAGAAAGUUGAGCGAGUGAAGACGACAUAGGAAAAAAAAACGGAAACCCCGUUACAGCAGGAAGUUUCGACGUGGUUGGUUUAGUCCUGUGUGUGUUCCCUUUCCUUUAAUUUUCACCUGACACGGGCCGUGGUGGUUUUACAAGACCAGAUGAGAGAAAGCGAGCGAGAGACAGAGAGACGGUGUGCACUGUAGUAGUAGCUAAAAAGGCAAAACAAACAACAGCGCCGCCACUAGAAUGAUUUUAUGUGACACCUAAUAGAAAGACAAAAUCUAAUGCAUUGCAAAUGUCUCUGCGCGUUUUAGCGUUUGAAUCCACUGAGGUGUAGCGCCCACAACACUGAGUCAGCAUACAAAAAACACGAUAAAAGAAAGAGCGAGUGAAGAAGGAAACAUUAUCCCCCCCCCUUCCCCCCCAAGUACAUUUAGCGUAGGAAAUCUAACGAAAACACACACUCACACACCCAUUUGAAUUGUCGCAAGAUCUCGCUGCUACCCCCCGUAGAUGUGUGUGUGUGUGUUGGUGUGCAAAAACAGCCCCUGUGUUUGCGAGGAAACAAAUAGCAAGUAAAAAUUUAUAUUUAUUAACUAUAAAUGUAUAGAUGUAUGGAAACAGAAAAUAGACUAUAGAGAGAAAGUUCAAGAAGCAGGCGAUCGAUAGAGGAUGCGAAGUAUGAUUUACAUUUUUUUUAGGGGUUAUCAUAACAUGUUUGAUACACAUAGCCGAGCAUCCCACAAAAACAAAAAAACACACACACACGCAUGUAAACAUUUUAAUGUUCAAAACAAACAAUCCAAAUAAUGAGUUUGCGCACAGGAUAACUUUCUAAAGCAGCACUCCUAAAUUUUUAUGUUAAAUAGAGAGAGAGAGAGAGAUACACUAAAGCCAGAAAAAAAAAAACAAGAAAGGACGCAGGACUCUAAACCCAGAGGAGUUCAGUAGCAAAGUACGAAAGAAAGCGCUAGCUGGUUCCGUUUUGUGGACAGCAGCAGCUGCAGCAGCAGGUCGAGAUAAAAUAAACUAAAUCGUCCAGGAAACAAAACAUGACUAGGAAUUUGAAAGAUUUUCCUCCGCGCUCUGGGAAAGUGAGAAGAAGAAAGAAGCAAUGAUGAUGCCACUGGACUGAAAUGCGCUCUGCAGGUUCUCAAACAGCUUGUGUUGUAUAUAGAUUAAUGUGUGUUUUUUUUGUUUCGUUUCUCCUACGUAAGCUAUCGAAAGAUUCUGUUUUUAAGUCACUUUUAGAUUGCGGCACGCAUUUGCAAUAGAAGGGUUUACUUCAGCGGAUAUUAGGUUGAUUCAGCUAAUGAUGUCGACGUGUGUGUGUGUCUAAAGAAGAUAAAAUGAUAAAAAUUGAAAUGAAAAAAAAACGUGUAGGUGUGUUCUCUCGCACACUGGUGUAGGAACUGGUGUAAAACAGAAGUAUCAGUUUUACACGUUGAAGGACCAACACAUUUGAUUCCUUGAAACACAACACUCUUUUAAUAUUAGUCUCUUGAAUCUGUGUGUAGUACAUACAUACGUACGCAAUAAUUAAACCACACACACACACACGGGUACAAAUAUGUUAACAAAACAUUAUCCAAACCUUAGCAUCAUCAAGCUCUUGUAGACAUUGGUUCGUAGUGGCAAAGACUUGCUAAAACCACCCCAGGACCCGUUAAUUUUCAAACCAACAAAAAUCCACAACCACCUUAAGACCGCAUGCCAUCUCUCUUCCUCGAGGGAGAGGGAUUGAAGGGAACACAAACAAAAAACAAGGAGCCAAAAGAAUAGUUCGAAAAUUCUUUGAGCCUAGUUCACACGAUCAGUUCGCAGUGGAAGAAAUACAAAUAAAUUAGAUAAGAGUACAGUUUUCGUCCAUCUA